UACAGAGGGGGCAAGCGUUAUUCGGAAUUAUUGGGCGUAAAGGGCGCGUAGGCGGCUUUUCAAGUGACGGGUGAAAUCCCUCUGCUUAACCGAGGAACUGCCUGUCAGACUGGAAGGCUUGAGACCGGGAGAGGUGAGUGGAAUUCCCAGUGUAGCGGUGAAAUGCGUAGAUAUUGGGAGGAACACCAGUGGCGAAGGCGGCUCACUGGACCGGAACUGACGCUGAGGCGCGAAAGCGUGGGGAGCAAACAGG
rnacentral:rRNA from 1 species